rnacentral:rRNA from 1 species
UAAAUCAGUAUCGUUUAUUUGAUAGUACCUUACUACUUGGAUAACCGUGGUAAUUCUAGAGCUAAUACAUGCUGAAAACCCCAACUUCGGGAGGGGUGUAUAUAUUAGAUAAAAAACCAACGCCCUUUCGGGGCUUCUUGGUGAUUCAUGAUAUCUUUACGGAUCGCAUGGCCCUUGCGCCGGCGACGGUUCAUUCAAAUUUCUGCCCUAUCAACUUUCGAUGGUAAGGUAUUGGCUUACCAUGGUUUCAACGGGUAACGGGGAAUUAGGGUUCGAUUCCGGAGAGGGGAGCCUGAGAAACGGCUACCACAUCCAAGGAAGGCAGCAGGCGCGCAAAUUACCCAAUCCCGACACGGGGAGGUAGUGACAAUAAAUACUGAUACAGGGCUCUUUUGGGUCUUGUAAUUGGAAUGAGUACAAUUUAAACCUCUUAACGAGGAACAAUUGGAGGGCAAGUCUGGUGCCAGCAGCCGCGGUAAUUCCAGCUCCAAUAGCGUAUAUUAAAGUUGUUGCAGUUAAAAAGCUCGUAGUUGAACCUUGGGUCUGGCUGGCAGGUCCGCCUCACCGCGUGUACUUGUCCGGCCGGGCCUUCCUUCUGGAGAACCUCAUGCCCUUCACUGGGCGUGUUGGGGACCAGGACUUUUACUUUGAAAAAAUUAGAGUGUUCAAAGCAGGCCUUUGCUCGAAUACGUUAGCAUGGAAUAAUAGAAUAGGACGUGCGGUCCUAUUUUGUUGGUUUCUAGGACCGCCGUAAUGAUUAAUAGGGACAGUCGGGGGCAUCAGUAUUCAAUUGUCAGAGGUGAAAUUCUUGGAUUUAUUGAAGACUAACUACUGCGAAAGCAUUUGCCAAGGAUGUUUUCAUUAAUCAGUGAACGAAAGUUAGGGGAUCGAAGACGAUCAGAUACCGUCGUAGUCUUAACCGUAAACUAUGCCGACUAGGGAUCGGGCGAUGUUCUUUUUCUGACUCGCUCGGCACCUUACGAGAAAUCAAAGUUUUUGGGU